AAUGGGAUUCUGGCCUGCAUCAAUAGGGGUAUAGCGUCUAGAUCCAGGGAAGUCAUGCUCUCCCUCUAUUCUGCCUUGGUCAGACCACACCUGGAAUACUGUAUCCAAUUUUGGGCACCGCAGUUGAAGGGAGAUGUUGACAAGCUGGAAAGCGUCCAGAGGAGGGCGACUAAAAUGAUUAAGGGUCUGGAGAACAAGCCCUAUGAGGAGCGGCUUAAAGAGCUGGGCAUGUUUAGCCUGCAGAAGAGAAGGCUGAGAGGAGACAUGAUAGCCAUGUACAAAUACGUGAAGGGAAGUCACAGGGAGGAGGGAGCAAGCUUGUUUUCUGCUGCCCUACAGACUAGGACACGGAACAAUGGCUUCAAACUACAGGAAAGGAGAUUCCACCUGAACAUCAGGAAGAACCUCACUGUGAGAGCUGUUCGACAGUGGAACUCUCUCCCCCAGACUGUGGUGGAGGCUCCUUCUUUGGAGGCUUUUAAGCAGAGGCUGGAUGGCCAUCUGUCGGGGGUGCUUUGAAUGCGAUUUCCUGCUUCUUAGCAGGGGAUUGGACUGGAUGGCCCAACUCUACUAUUCUAUGAUUCUAUGAUUCUAUGAUUUAUUUUUUCCUUGGGGGGAGGGGCAGAAAAGAUAGGGGUCAGGAAAAAUACCCAUCACAGUGUGGCAGCCGUGUUAAACCCACAGCAAAAAGGAAUGCAUAAUUGUCAUUUUUAAGAAAGAAAGAAGAUUUAACAUUGAGAAACUCAUUCUUGGCUGUUGGAAAAUUACUCCAAUCAGCAGAAACUUCCAUUUGAAGACAUAAGUAAUCUAAAUGUAUUUAUUAUCUACAAAUGGAAUGCAACUAGAUACAGACUGCUUACUCCCCCACAUUGCUGAUGGACCUUAAAGAGUAUGGUUAAGAAAUGCCAAGUCUAAUAAAUAUUGUCAGGUACAUUGUUUGUAACAGCUAAUAUGAUACAUACCCAUGAAAGGGUUAAAAUAUUGUUUGUGUUGGAAGCCACAUCAAAAGAAAAUUUUCUGGACAAAGAUACUGAAAGUAAAUAUUUGAACUUUUUUGAGUACAACCCUCCCUUUUUAGGGGAAGUUGAUUGUACUUAGUAACAACAAAGCCACAAAAAACAAAAAAAACAAAACACACACACAGAGGAAAGAAAGUGUGUUCAACUGUGACCUGGUGUGUAGCCAUAAUAACUUAAUUCAAAAUCAGAACAACCACAUCCUCAUUGGAAUCAGUUUCAAUUGGAUUAACCCAAUUUUUAGGUGAAUAUACUGUUUUAGAAAUAUACAAUUUGUUUAAAAACAAUUUUUUGGAUGUAUGUAACUCUUUAAUGCUUAUGGCCACUCCUUGUUCCUUUGACCUAGAUUCCACUGUAAAAAACAUGUAUCUCUAAGGAGAACAAGUGUUAAAUUUGGAACUGUGUAAGUAUAUUGCAAUGUUUUUUAUAGUUGUUAUUCAAUGGAUAGGUAGUUACUUAUGUUAGUGUACGUAACUAUUUUCAGACCACCAGAGGAAGGCCUGAUGCAGGGCCGAAACCGGUCGUGGCGGACUUACUCUUCUCGGCAUUAGAAUACACAACGCAGAUUGCAUUUCAAUGUAUAUUGGACAAUCCAUUUGAGGCUGCUUGUUAUUACUGUGAAUUUAACGCCGACUGCAUUUCAAUGUAUAUUGGACAAUCCAUUUGAUGGUGUUUGAUAUUACUGUGAAUUUAAACAGUAUACUAAUUUGCCAGACAUAUUGUUUACUGAACUGGUUCAUUUUCAAUUGUAUAUAUAGGAGGUCAUUUGUGUUUGAGUUAUUCUGAGGGAGAAUCAUUGUGGAAACACUGAUGUACACUAAAAGGGAAGUCAAGAAGAAGAGGAAGACCUGGCUAGACUGUUGUGAAGAUCCAUCUGGAAGACUGAAGGUAAAAACCAUGUGGAGCCAAUCUAGAAUAUGACAUUCUGAAUCAGCCCUGGGAUAAAGUGUCCAUGUAGAACAGCUCCAAGUAGUUCUUCCUGGAUGUGUUAUUGCUGGAUAGUUUUUAAAGGUUGUCUUCCUUUUUGAGUACUUCCUCAGUAAGUUUGUGUUGUUGUUCUUUUUUUUCUUGUAUUGUUCUGUGUUUUGUUGAAGGAGGAGGCCCUCAUGAUUGCCUAACUUGCAUCUCUAAUUGUGUUUAUUUCUAUCCCUGUGCCUAAGUUAUAUUCAAAAUAUUAUUUCAGUUUUUAGCUAAUUUAUUCAUUAUUCUUCUUUACAAAAUAUAGAUAAAUUCAGUUUCAAAUAUCUUCAUAAUCUUUUUCCUUUCAAUUUUAAAAUUACUGGAUUACGGUCUGAGAAUAUUCUUGGUUGAUUAUCUAUUCUUUUUAUUGACGUUGAUAAAGUAUUUGAAAUGAAAAACAUGUAUUUCCAGGAUAGUGAUUUAUGGUAUUCUGGGAAGAAAGUAAAAUCCCAUGCAUUGCCAUGUUUACUACUUCAAGUAUCUACUAGUUUCAGAUCUCCUAUUAUAUCAAAGUAGGAUUUUGGUAGUUCGCCCCUGAUUUGGUUUAACAUCUUUCUCAGUUUUCCUGUCUAAUGGUGAAAAUCUCAUGCAGAAGAGUUUGACAUCUUGGGUUUGGGUGUGUUUUAUUCUAUAUAACUCUCAUGCAACUUGGCACCUUCUAAAUAUGUUGGACUACAAAACCCAAAUAGCCCCCAGUUUGGACAGCCAAAACCCAUGUUGUCUUAGGAUUAUAGUAGUUAACCUGUGAUACUUGUGGAGGGCACCAAAUUAAGAAAAGCUGUUCUAAUGUAACUCUGCAUGUAUAGAGAACUCCAUAAAAGAGAGAGAGAGAAAUAGAAAACCUUUUUGUUGAUUUGAAUGCUCUAUCACAACUUCAAAUUAUUUGUGUUGCAAGGUAAGCAUUGUUUGUUCUUGGACUAUAAGCAUUCCAAGACAGGAAAUAUAUCUGUUCGUUGAGUGUCAUGUACAUUUACUACACUGUCCAAAAUUAUAAAUAUUUUAUCUCUGGAAAUGAAUGACUUCUAGAAAAUUUCCAAUCACUGUGCUUUUGCACAGCUGCUGUUGUUGCUGUCCUGCCUAUACUUUUCUUUUCUCAUUAAAGGUAAAAAGGUA